AAUAAGGCAAACUUAUCUUGGCCGUAGAAGCAGGAAAGAUACAUAGCAACCCGAUUACAUUUAGCCCAGAGCUUCAUUACAGCCUCUCCAGAUUCCAAUUUAUUUAAGCAUUAUGUAAUACUAUUUCUGUCAGAGAUGGGCUCUGCAAAUUGCUUCAUAAGGCAGAAAGCACUGGUUCAUACAUUGGCAAAACCCCUAGCAGUUCCCCUAGCAGUUCUUUCAUCCCCACGGAAGAAAAUUCUAAACAGCAGAGACUGUUUAGUGUGCCCGCUCUCUCAGAACUUCAAGGUCCAUUUCUGUAGGGUCAGUCGCCAUAUAUAUAUUUGUUUGGUGCAUAUCAUUUGAAAAAGGGCAAGCUUGCCCCUAGUGGUGUCUUCGUGUACUGUGGGGCUAAAAAUAGAUUUUGAAUGAGUCCCUGAUUUUAUACCCUAUAUAUCCCUAUGCAUUAUGGGGAAACCAUGGCAUAUAGACUCACUGUUUACGUGUACUGUGGGGCUAAAAAUAGAUUUUGAAUGAGUCCUGAUUUUAUGCUCUAUCCCUAUGCAUUAUGGGGAAACCAUGGCAUAUAGACUCAGUGUCUACGUGUACUGUGGGGCUAAAAAUAGAUUUUGAAUGAGUCCUGAUUUUAUACCCAAUCCCGAUGCAUUAUUUAAAUUUAAUGUAGUGUAGGGCUAAAAUUAGAUUUUGAAUGAGUCCCUCAUUUAUACCCUAUCUCUAUUCAUUGUUUAAAUUUAAAAAUUAGAAACCAGAUAAAGAGUGAUACCCAACCUCAACAAAACCUUGGUAUGUUUGGUGAUUAGCAAAUACCAGGGGAAAAAGUAUUUUUAGAAAAUUAUAUUUUUAAUGUGUGGAUGACUUAAAGGAAAAAAAAAAGUAGAAAAAAAAAAAAGUAUAAAAAUUUUCUUUUUUUUUUUUGGAAAAUUAGUCAAAAAUAAAUAAAUUUUUAAGAAAUAUACCUGGUUGGUUUAGCAAAUACCAGGGGAAAAAGUAUUUUUAGAAAAUUAUAUUUUUAAUGUGUGGAUGACUUAAAGAAAAAAAAAAGUAGAAAAAAAAAAAAGAAAAGUAUAAAAUUUUUCUUUUUUAUUUUUUGGAAAAUUAGUCAAAAAUAAAUAAAUUUUUAAGAAAUAUGCCUGGUUGGUUUACACUCAUAUGUGAUUCUUAGUUUUAUGAUUUUUUUUUUAAUAAGAAUUUUACAUGAGAGUGAACCAACACUUAAAUCACUGACCUUAAACUCUAAAUUAUGUUAUGACUAUUUACAUAAUUUUUCAAUUGAAUUUAAGUAGUUUUUAAUCUUUUUCUAAUAACUUUUUUUUCUAAUAAUGUAAUUUUUCUAAUAAUAGGUUUUGAAUGAGUCCCUGAUUUUAUACCCUAUCUCUAUGCAUUUUUUAAAUUUAAAAUUAAAAACUAGAUAGAGAGUGAUACCUAACCUGAACAAAACCUUGGUAUGUUUGGUGAUUAGCAAAUACCAGGGAAGGGAAAACCACAAUAUAUAUAUAUAUAUAUAUAUAUAUAUAUAUAUAUAUAUAUAUAUUUGGUUUGCCUAGAUGUAAGCAAUAGUUAAUAUUAGAUGUCAAAUCGGUGCUUAGAAAUCAAUGAUUUUGAUUUUGGAAGCUUCCGUGUAAUUUCGCUUUGGGAAAACCUCUUGUAUGAAAGCAUUCCCAUUUCUCAAUUCUCAAGUUCAUUAAAAAAAUGGUGAAGAUGGAUGUGUUAGAAAUCAACGAUUUUGAUUUCGGAAGCUUCCCAUUUCUCAAUUCUCAAGUUCAUUAAAAGAAUGGUGAAGUCAACGAUUUUGAUUUCGGAAGCUUCCGUGCAAUUUCACUUUGGGAAAACCUCUUAUAUGAAAGCACUCCCAUUUCUUAAUUCUCAAGUUCAUUAAAAGAAUGGUGAGGUUGGAUGUGUUAAAAAUCAACGAUUUUGAUUUCGGAAGCUUCCGUGUAAUUUCACUUUGGGAAAACCUCUAGUUCUCAUAAAGUACCAAUAAAAAAAAUGUAAAAGAAAACAAUUUUUUUAUAUUUAGUUUUACUAUAAAAAAAUUUAAAAAUUAAAUAUAAUUAAAAUUAAUUAUAAAUUUAUAUAUUUUAAAAUUAUUUAAUUUUUAUAUAAUAAAAAAAUAAAAUAAAAUAAAUUUCAAAAAUAUAUAUAAAAAGAAUUUAUUAAUUUUUAUUUUUAUAUUUUUCACUUUUCCUCUCUAUUUUAUUUACCGCGCAUUUUCCCCGACCAAACAUAGCCUAUAUAUUCAAAUGUGAAAAGGAAGAGUGGGAAGUGUUCAAAAAAAAUGGAAGAAUGAGAGAGAGAGAUUUUGUGGCUAUGCGUGGAUGCGUCAACAGCGUCACAGCCAAGUAACCAUUUUGGGUGCCAUUGGUUUUCACUUUUGUGGGCCCCGGGUAACCGCCAGCUACCCAUUUUAUUUUUGGGUGCCAUAGGUUUCCAAUAUGGGAAUAAGUUUGACCGCUGUCAUUUUUUUGGGCCACAGUUUAGAGUUUAGACAUUGACAUUGAAACCGCGUUUGUUUUUGUUUUUUCAGUUUUUUGCUUUCAGACGACUUUAGCGUUGGAGAUCUUUGUACUUUUAUGGUAUAGAUGUAUAUGGGUCAUAUAACGGGAAUCAAUGAGAAUGAUGAUUAUGUAUGAGAAGUCAUAAUAAAAUGAUAUGAAAAAGACAUUUUUGGAAUAAAAUAAUAUGAAAAAGAUAUUUUCUUUAAUAAAAAAUAUAAAAUAAAUUGAUAACAAUUAUUAAUAUUUAUUUUGAUAAAUAAGUAUUCAUAAAAAGUCUAUAUGAAUUAAUAUAACACUUAACACUUUAAAUUAAUAUAAGAAUAAAUAUAUGAUACAUAAAUAAUUUUUUUUUUUAAUGAAAAACGUAUAUCAUCUCGAAAUAUUAUUUUUUAUAUAAAAAAAAAUUAAAUAACCAUUAAUGGGGUGUUAAUGGUUAUAUGUUAUUGUCAACCUCUUAGCCUCUUGACCCAAUGUUAGAGGAAAGGGUCUCAUGGGUGGACCUUGCAUUCAUGGGAGCUUAGAUAGAGAGCAAAGAUGGCCUGGAGGUUUAGUGGUUCAAACCCAAUGAGUUAAAAUGAGGAGGCCAUGUACGAGCCAGACAGGCACCGCCGACGAGCCAGACAGGCACCGCCGACGAGCCAGACAGGCACCGUGAGCGAGUCAGACAGGCACUGUGUGCGCACCGCGUGUGCACUCGACGCGCACCGCAUGCGUACUAGGCAUAUGUUGGUUGUGGAGUUGGUGCAAAUCGAGAGUGAUGUUUAUUUUGGAAUAUAUGUUAUAAUUAUUUAAAUAUUUCAUUGUCUCCUCAAGUAGGUGUGAUGUCUCCUCCAAACAUCUUAAGACUGACUCGUAUUGUUUUUUAAGGGGGGUAGGUGACUCAAAGGAGUACCAAGGGAAGGCCUUGACCGCAUCAUGGCACGGCCUUAGGCGUGCCUAGGACACAUAGACAACACUCAAGCACGCACACAUAGGCUCCAUGACAUGUGUGGCAUGCACCCCGUGGCCGCAACGGCAUGGGGCCUGGUGCGGCCUACCUCCUCCCCGUGCUGGCACAAGGGCACCUAAGCCUUGUGCAACGAGGAAGACAUGGACGUAACACCAUGGUUUGAUGGGGCAUUAGACGUGCAAUUGACUCACACCCAUGAUGCCUAUAUAUGGCAUAGGGGCGCAAUGCCCUGUGCACCAGGAAGGAAUAGCCAUGGGCGUAAUGCCAUGGCUCGUUGCUAUGGAGCCUUGACCUAACGAAGGGAGCUAGACACAUGCCUAAACCAUGGGCACCUUGACAUGACACAUGCUCACACAUCAGUGUAUGGAAGGCACAUUGAUGCACCAAACACCUAGUCAGCUGGUCGAUGCAUGCUGCUGGUUCAGAUGCCAGCUAACUAGUGGCAGCAAGUGAGUGAUCAAGACAACAUUCAGCUACAAGGGAUUAGCAGAUGGUUGUGGUGAUGAUGGCUGGUGCAAGGAAACAUCUUGGUCUGAAGCAGUGUCUCCAGCUGUGUGGUUAUGCAAGCAGUUCCUUCAUCUUGGUGGUUAUGCAAGCAAUUGUGGCGGUUGUGGCAAAUGCAUAACCACCAGUAGGCUCCUUGGUUUUGAAAUUCAAAUUGUAACUUGCAAGCUGGGUCAUUGAAAAAUGCCUCUACAUCUCUGAGACAGAGCAUGAGAUGUUGUCUUUGAAUGUUUAAGGGUUCUAAUCAUUGUACUCUAACUCAGGCUAAGUGUUGAGACACUUUGGAAGACAAUUUUGUAUCUUGUAUAGUUGAAUAAUACAAGUUGGGAAGGGUGUUCCCGUAAUCGAUAUUGCAAAGAAAUUCAUGUAGAAAAGUCAUACAAAUAAAGGGAAUUGGGUGUUUCUUCUUCUUAUCAUUUGUUGUUUUUGUUUUGGACUUCUACAGAUAUUUCUUAGGAAGAGAUAACAAAGAGGGGGAGGUAGUGAGGCAUGGCCCGGGAACAAUUGCAAGUGCUCAACGCACUGGACGUAGCAAAAACAUUAUGGUGUCAUUUCACUACAAUCAUCAUUGUUGGAAUGGGGUUCUUCACUGAUGCCUAUGAUCUUUUCUGCAUAUCCCUUGUCACGAAACUGCUCGGUCGCCUAUACUACCAUGUUGAUGGUGCAUCCAAGCCUGGGACGCUUCCUCCUAAUGUGUCUGCUGCUGUUAAUGGGGUGGCCUUAUGUGGAACUCUUGCUGGCCAGCUAUUCUUUGGCUGGCUUAGGGACAAGAUGGGCCGGAAGCUGGUCUAUGGCAUGACUCUUAUGCUCAUGGUUAUAUGCUUUGUUGCUUCGGGGCUUUCCUUUGGCAGUAGCCCAAAAUCUGUUAUGAGCACUCUAUGCUUCUUCCGGUUCUGGCUUGGGUUUGGGAUUGGUGGUGAUUACCCUCUUUCAGCCACCAUCAUGUCUGAAUAUACUAAUAAGAAGACUCCUGGUACCAUCAUUGUUGCUGUCUUUGCCAUGCAAGGCUUUGGGAUUUUUGUUGGCGGUUUGUUUGCAAUUAUAGUCUCGACCGCAUUCAAGGUCAAGUUCAGUGCCCCUGCUUAUGAGGUUGAUGCAAUUGCCUCAACUGUGCCGCAGGCUGAUUAUGUUUGGAGGAUCAUUCUAAUCGUUAGAGCACUCCCUACUGCCCUCACUAAUUACUAGAGGACGAAAAUGCCAGAAACUGCUAGAUACACUGCUCUGGUUGCUAAGAAUGCUAGAAAGGCUGCUUCAGAUAUGUCAAAGGUUUUGCAGGUGGAUAUUGAGGCAGAACCUCAAUAAGUUGAGGAGGUGGCCAAAGAGUAUGGUUUCUUCUUCAAGGAGUUUGUUCGUCGCCAUGGGGUUCACUUGUUCGGGACUGCAAGCACAUGGUUCUUGCUUGACAUUGCAUUCUACAGUCAAAACAAUCUAAUUUUAAAGAAUGAAUAUUGGUUAUUAUUUUAAAUUUAUAAAUAUUCAUUUUUUAAAUAUUAUCUAAGCUAUUUAAGUUGUUAUUUAAGUUUCAAAAAGUUGUUUGAAAGGACUUAUAUGAAUAUAAUUGAGAUGAGGAUAUUUUUUAGAUAUAAAAAUAAAUAAGGUGUUUGGUAAAACUCAAUACCUAUUACUUAAUAAUUUAAGUUGAUUUUAAGUUAAAUUAUACUUAAAUUGUUAACUUAAAACUUAUUACUUAAUUUUUUAUUUUAAGUAAUAAAAUUAUUUGAUAAAAUUAACUUAAAAAUGAUUUUAAAUCAUUAAUUUGAUAUAUUUAUUAUCAUAAAUUAUAAUUAUGGUAAAAGAGAUGAGUAAUAAUGAAAGUCAUAGAAUAGCAAAAGAGAUCAUAGACAUAAUUAGGACAAACGAGGAUAAAAAGAUAAAAUAAAAAAAUGAACUUAAGAAUAAGUCAAUUAUUUUUACUUAUUACUUAAAGUUGUUGUUUACUUUAACUUAUACCAUUAACUUAUUUUACCAAACAUACUUAAUUACUUAAAUAACUUAAAUUAAGUUAUAAUUCAUAUAUAGCAUAGAUACAGAUAAUAAGGCAAACUUAUCUUGGACGUAGAAGCAGGAAAGAUGCAUAGCAACCCGAUUACAUUUAGCCCAGAGCUUCAUUACAGCCUCUCCAGAUUCCAAUUUAUUUAAGCAUUAUGUAAUACUAUUUCUGUCAGAGAUGGGCUCUGCAAAUUGCUUCAUAAAGCAGAAAGCACUGGUUCAUACAUUGGCAAAACCCCUAGCAGUUCUUUCAUCCCCACGGAAGAAAAUUCUAAACAGCAGAGACUGUUUAGUGUGCCCGCUCUCUCAGAACUUCAAGGUCCAUUUCUGUAGGGUCAGUCGCCUGAAUCUCAUAGUGGACACCAUCUAGCUCCCGCCUAAACCUCUCUUUGGAUGUGGCAUAGAGCAUCUUUGCGCGGAUUCUUGAGCUGUCAGGAGACCUGAUCAACAUGCAUGCCACAUUAAUAAAAUGAAUCAUAAGAUAUAAAACGUUCACAGCAAAUUCUUUAUAAUAAUGCAGAAGUAGGGAAAAGAAAAGUGAAACAGCAAUGAUAUGUCAAAAACAGGGGAAAAAAGGAUCAGAAUUUCAUCCUUGGCUAUGAAAAACUGCAACUUAAAAUCACUGAAAAAGUUAAUCUUGUCAUGCCAUGUGACAGGAAAUGUAACUGAUGAAUCAAAUAAGAUGUGAUUAGAAGAUGAUCUGUUGCCACAACAUUCCAUGCAAAUGACUAUACUCACAAAUUCUCCAUUUGGUCACCAAGAAAAAGAGCAGUUUUUCAUUUCUAUUAGCUCAGUAACAAUAUGGAGAACAGAGAAUGAAUCCCUCCAUUGGUCAAACCAAGAACAUGGAGAUCUAACCCGGGGUUCUAAACACAAGAAUUCAAUAUCAUCACCUGAAAGGACUGUCCCUCCUGUUUUUCAUACAUCAAGCUACUCACUUUAAUUUCAAGGGUCGAGUCGGUUGACUGCAGUACAAUGGACUUCCUUUCAGAAGGAAUUUAAAUGAGCACAGAUGAAUAGCAUCACCACCACUAAGCCACCAUACCUUAAACUGAUUAACUUGAACCUAUAUUGGAUCACUAGAAAAAAAACUCACAUAUAUCUAGGUGCUUUUAAUGUGUGCAUGUCUUUGCAAGCAUCAUCACAACAAUGACACUAAGUGGCUCAAAAGGGGCUGCAUUCCAGAUAAUGCUAAACUAGCAAACCGCAUACCAAAGGGUAACCAAAGCCAAUGCCAUAAGCUGGAGAGUGAUGACCAAUUUGAAAGAUUGUUUGAUAUACAGACAAAAGUAUUCGGUUAUUUGAGAAAAAUCAAUAUACUUCUAAUGUCAACUAGGUUAAACAAAAACAGUCAAUAUUAUAUGCACAUUGGAAACUAAGAGGACUUGCAUAACAGUAGGUGAUAAUUAAAAAAUGUUGGCAUAUUACAUGGUCUAAUAUCAUUGAGUUUUUCUCCCUGUAGCCUUUCCCAUGCAAGUUCAUUGAUGUCUAUAUCAAACAAGACAAGCUACAAUGGUUACGUUCAAAUCUCUGUGAUAUCAAACAAUUUAGUGAGAAAUAAUGAACAUCUCAACUCAGAUAGCACAACAUGUCUGCAAUGUGAUUAUGUAUGCUGGGAAAUACAAGAUGAUGAUGGGCAAUUCCAAAACAGAGAGCGAUAUGAUGAAUAAGAAGAUACUUGUACAGAGUAUAUCCAAAGCAGGUACUCCAAAUUUAGGGAAGAGAAAACAGGAAACUAGGAUUAUGAUCUUAAUUGUUGGGUAAAGCAUAGGAUAUGAGUUCUUAUUCAAAUUCUGUGCGUAGUCUACCCAACUAAGGAGACCUAUCAAAAGAGAAUGAGGGCAUUUGAGUUAAAAAGCUAACCAUGCAAUGAAGAAUAUCUUGCUCUUCUGACAAUUCUCAGAAGUCACAAAAUCAAAGUCAUAAACUGCAUAUCGGCAAUCAUUCUCAGGCAAAGCAGCUGCAAAUUCAUCAAAGCUCUCAGCUGGACCACCGGUCUUCUCAACUACAACCUCCUUUUUCUUCUCAUCAAUCUUAAAAAUCACAUACCGAUGAACCUUCUUUCUCUUCAGUUCCAAAAAUGUGUUUUUGCUGUGAUCAGCAACACCCAUACCAGAUGAAGCAUUUAGCUGGAGAAAAAGAAAAUCAGACGCAUAACAGUGGGUUCAUUGAAGGUCUUUUCUAAAAGAAAAAAGAAAAAGAAAAAUAUAUAUAUUAAACCAUAAAUCCAUCUUCCCUCUGUUUGGUUGCAAGGGAAUCUGUGAGAAAGAACUGAAAUAAAUUUUCUAAUUUUAUAUUUAAUUAAAUCAAAGCACCACUUCGAGUCAAUACAAGAAAUAAUUGGCAGAUAAAUAGAUUAAUUAGAAUCUAACAUAAUCAAGGACGAUCACAUGCACCCGCAAUUCAAUUGAAAAAGGAAGUCUUAUAAAAAAUAAAAUAUAAAAUAAAACAGAAAACACGAUCACGUUCUGUUUGGUUGUUGAGAAAAUGUAAGAAAAAAGAGAGAAUUUUCGAAGGAAAUUAUUUCAUUAUUUAAACCCCUGAAAUCCAGAAAGUCAUGGCCCCAGCUAAUCUUAAUACAACCAUUUGCCUAAGUUGAGGUAACUCUUCUCUUCAUUUUUCUCUUUCUGAUAACCCAAAAAAAUAAAUAAAUAAACAGAAAAUUUCAAAAAAUAAAAAAUAAAAAAUCCACUUAUUCCUCUGCUUUUCAUCUACUUUCUUAGCAACCAAACAGAUUUUCUUUCAACAAAACCAUCGGUUCCAAUCAAAAUUGCCCUUUCUAAAAACCAAAAAAAAAAAAAAAAAACCCAUCACAUACAAAUACAAAUUCAACAUCUUAUCCUUGAUCAUAAGAAAUAAACAGCAAUAAACUACUAAGCCGACACAAACUAAGAUCAAACCCUGAACACCAAUCACUCUAAAAAAAACAUAAUUUGAAAACCAACCCAGAAAUCAACAACAACAGCACAUAUGAUCACUCUAGAGACAGAAAGUAGAUAGAGAAAGAGUUUUACCCCUCUGAACGACAUGACUACUGAGAAGAUGUGAAGAAAGCAAUGUCCAAGAGAGCUUCAAAUUAAGCAGAGGAGAGAAAAGAAAAAAACAAAAAACAAAAAAGCAGGUGGGGUUGGGAUUCAAGGUGGUUUGCGUUUGGACGGAAAGGCAAAAUGGGGAAAAAUGUGAGACACGGAAAAGUUUGAGAAUCACAAGAGUAAUGGAAAGCUGCCAAAGAGAGAAAAAAGCUGUCUUUUUUCUUUCAUUUUCUGAGGCGAGAAAGUCAAAAAGAACAAGGAAAAUAUAUUAAUACCAUUCGAACUAAAAUAAAUAUUUUAUUAUUUUAAUAUUUUUUAUUACAUAAAAAAAUAAUAUUAAUUAAUAUUUUGUAUUUAUUAAUUUAGUUAAUACAUUCUUGGUGUUUAGAAUAUAAUAAAAAAAAUUAAAAAAUUUAUAAAUUUUCAAUUUUGGAAUAAGUGGGUAAAAGUGGGUAUUGAAAAGAGAAGCGUCCCAAAUAAAAGUAAAUAAAAAAUAAAUAAAAAAAAGGAGGGGGCCGGUGCUUGAUAUGCACGCUGCCUAUGCUUUUCGGAAAGAGGACAAUCUCCACCGUCUGUGGGCCCCAAGGCAUCAGGUGCGACCUCAUCCGUGGGACCAGUGCACACGUGGCUGGUGGGCCAUGCUCAACGUUUUCUGGUCUCCGCGUAUUGAAGUCUCUUUUGGUUUCCCAGAACAAGGAUAAAUCCGAUUUUGCCUUCGGAGCGACUCUGUCAAUCCACCAAACGACGCCGUUUAAGCUGACUUUAGAUUCAUCCGCAUACAAAACAUUUGAGUAUGUUUUCAAAAUUUAAAACAGUUUUAAAAAUAGUUUUAUCUUCAUGUUUAGAACAAGUUACAUAUGAAUUUCUCUUCACUUCUUGUUUUAAAAUCACGAGAGUUUCUUAGGUUUAAAAUAGAUAAUAUUUAUAUGGUUGAGUACAGAUCGUUAUAAAUAGUAUUAGGGUAAAUCUCUAAUCCCAAUGUUUAAUAGUGUUAAAUAUUAAAAUUUUUAUAAUAUUUUAUUUCUAUUAAAUGUUAAAAAGUAAAAAAAAAAUUAAUAUAUUAUUUUUUAUAUUUAAAAAAAAUUAUAUAUUUUGAUAUUUUUUUAAUAAAAAGUUUAUAAUAUGUUAUGAAAAAAUAGAAAAAUAAACAAUUUAAAUUGUAAAAAGAAAUUGUUUUUAACAAAAACAAAACAAAAACAAAUAUCACCUUAGUGUCUGCAUGAGCAUUUGUAAAUGGCACAUCGAAUAAAAAGAUAAUGGAAAAGUUCUUAACCUUAUAGAGGGAUUAUGUUUUCUAUUCUAAACAAUAAAUAAUUAUUUUUAAGAAUAAUUUCCAAAUACAAUCAUAAUAUCUAAAUAUUUUGUUGAAUAUCUAAAGAGAUUGACAAAGUAUUGAGUCGGUGAGCCACUCCGCCCAAGCCCAAGUUUGCGGAGUCAACCUUUAGUGCAUUACUUGACUACCAAUACCAGGGGUCGGGACAAAUGAGGUAGGUGCUUGAGCCUGACGGACAAAUCUGAGCACGACAUACGCAUAAUGCUAUACAGGAUCAAGUUGGCAACAAACAAGAAACAAAUACCCACUUGGAGACUGAUGAGGCAUGGUGGUACCCCUUGUGUGUAUCAUUUGGUAGGAAUUAUGAUGACCUUUCUUAUUCAAAUGAGUCGUCGACCGGUUGAGCAUGUAGGUCUCCAACCGUCACCAACAAUAUCUUUAAUGUCCAACAAUGAGUGAAGUGGUCAACCAAAAUUACAGAAUUUUUGCUCCAAGGACUAGUUCAUUUCUAUUUCAUAUAUAAAAGUUGUUUUACUCGAUCUAGUUUACCAGUUUGACACAAUCUAAUAUUGAAUAUCAUUCAUUAUGAGAGUGUUAAAUUAAGAGUGUAUUUAUUCUUCAACUUGCAUAUUUACUUAGUGCAAGUUGAAAGGAAAGUAGCUAAGUCUAAGGUACCAAUUAAGUUUCUCAAGUGUGACCACGUCACUUAAGUUUGUCAAAUGUGGGGAAUCUAUUUAUAGAAGUAUAAAAAGGUCCAUUGGAACAAAAAAAUAAAAUGUACAAGAUUAAUGUUUGGUUUAAAGCAUUAUUGAUGAUGAAAUCCUUGGUUUGGGAUUGAGGAAAGUAGAUAUGGAUUGGGUCAUACCAAACCAUUAUAAAAACAAUAAUUUGCAUGUCUUUAUCUCUUCUUUCUUUAUUUUAUGUAUACUUGUUUGAUCGUCUUUGAUAUAUUAAUGUUCAAAUUAUCAAUUGCAUUCAUAUUGUUAAAAUUUGUAAAAAUCAUCACUCAAUUCAUACCUCCUUCGGUAAUUAGGAUAACUUGGAUUAGUAUAAGCCUUUCUAUAUUCUUUUGAAUUCCCGGGAUGAUCAUGGGAUAUUUGCAGACUUUUUUGGCUAGAUUUUAAUUAAGAAAAUGUGAUCUUGUCAGUAUGAUCUUAUCGAUGGUCAAAUGGUAAUUUAGGGAGGUACCCCUUGAUAUUAGGAGGAUUUUUUCCUUCUUGACGUGAUAUUGAGAUGAGUUGUGUCCUUCGAAGACAACCUAAUUGCCAAAGACCUAAUUUUGGUAUCACCAAUUUUUAUAGCAAAAUCUUAUUAUUGAACGCUUUCUUUAUAAUAAUAAAAAUUUGUUUCAUAAUAAAAAUGUAUUAAAAACUUGAAAAUAGAUUGAAAAGGAAAUUUCAUAUACUUUUCAACAAAUAAUACAAGUUAAAAGCUAUCCAAAAGGGGAUUAUUGAGCAUUAGUCAAUUAAAAUUGAAUAUUAUAAAUAGGUAUAGAAUCUAUCCACAUGAAAAAGUUGGAACUAGUUCUUUUCUUAGCUCAAUUGCUAAAGUGACAUAUCAAAGGACACAAUUUAUGUUCCAAUAUUAGUUGUCUCCAUUGCAUGUUUUAUUGUGCAAAUCCCACCUUUAACAAAAUUUAUACUGUGUUUGAUAGUAUUUUUAUUUAAAAUGUUUUUAGUAUAAGAGUUUUUUCUUGAAAUGUUUUUAAAAAAAUCAUCCAUAAAAAACUCGUUCGAUAGUACUUCUUAAAAGUGUCUUUAACCCUAAAAACACUUUAAAAAGAAUUUAAGGUAAAAAAUAUAUAAUUAAUAACAUUUUAAAAAAUACUUUUGAAAAUUUAGAAAAAUACUUGAAGUGAUUUUUAGAAAAGCACGGUAUUUUUUUUUAAAAAAAAAAACACUUUAAAAUUUUUAAAAUAUUCUUGAAAUUAGAGUUUUUGAAUACCUUUCCUUUUCCGUUUAUUUUUCUAUCCAUCCUUCACCUUUUUCUUCCUCCUCUCUCCAUCUCUAAAAUCUCUCAUUACUCUCAUUUAAUAUUGUUGAACUCCCUCUAAAUUACUCUUUAUUCAAAAUGAGCAAGUUUUUAUAAAGUUAAUAUAUGCAAGAUGCAAUAUAUAUAUAUAUUAGAAAUCAACGCCUACGAGCAUACCAACCCAAAAAAAAAGAAAUGACAUAUAUGUUUAUAGUGGACAUAUAUUACAAAUUACACACAUCAUAAACAUAGUAAAGUUAUACCUUCAACCAUCUUUUAUGACCUAACCCCCUAGCCUUUUAGGAAUUCAUGAGGGAGUAAGAAUUAACAUUUGAUUCUUCCAAUUUUAGAUAAAUACAAUUUAAGAAGACUUUUGAAUCUUAGUUAGCUGCCACCCAUCAUUCCAUUAUAUAAAUUAUUAUUUUUUUUAAAAAAAUUGUUAUAUAAUGAUUGAAAUUUAUAUUAUUAUAUAUUAAUCAAAAUUUUAAAUAUUUUAAAAUUUUUCUUGUAAUCAUAAAAAUGAUUAGUUUUAGUUUUAUUUAACAAAUAUAAAUGUUUAUAUAUUCUUUUAUAAUGAAAAAGUUUCCAACUUCUCAUAAAAGUGCUUUUCACGUAAACGUUAAAGAAGAAAACUGGUAAAAACACUUCGACUAAAAGCACUACCAAAACGGGUUCAAAGUAUUUAUUUUAAAAACAAUAUAAAUAAUUUUAUAAUAGCAUAAAUGAUUUUUCAAAUUUUUUGAAGUGUUUCCUAAAUUUUACCAAAUACCUAUUUUUUUUCAAAAAUAUUUUUAAAUUAAAAACGCUUUAUAAAAUCAUUGUAAAAUGGACUCUUAAUGGAAAAUGAGCUCUAAUAAUAUUAACGAAAAUGUCACAUUUAUAAUAAUUUUAGACCUUAAAACUACCUAAACUAGCUAACAAAAUAAUAAAAUUUAUUUGAAUAUAUAAUAAUUUUGAUCAUGCAUAUAUAAUUAUUACCAUCAUUAUUGAAAGCUUAUGAUAAUUGGUUGACCAAAAAAAAAAAAAAUGAAUAGCUAAUCUUUUAUAACUCUAAAAUUAAAUCCUUUAUAAUUUAUAUUAAUUCUACAAAAACAAUCAAUCUCACGUUCAAUCCUUUAUAAAACUUUGUAGAAAUUUUGUUCAAUGGUCACAAAAUAAAUUCACAUAAAUGUACUUAUAUUGAGACAUUACCUCAACCGUAAGUUUUACAUUACCCUCUAUAUACACUUAUCUUUACGAUGCCACAACACUUAUGUACUUCUCAACAAGUAUCUCAAUAACAGUUAUAUUUAGUUUCCAAAAAGUACUAAAGAAAAAAAAAAUCGAUAAAGAAAAUAGUUUUUUAUAUUUGUAUUUGCUAUAAAAAAAUAAAGAAAAAAAUUAAAAUUAGUUAAUAAUUUAUACAUUUAAAAUUUAUUUAAUAUUAAUAUAAUGAAGGAAAAUUAGUUAAAUGAGUUUGAAGAAAUAUGUAAAAAUAAUUUAUUGAGUUUGUAUCUAUUUUUCAUAUUCCUUUAUUUUUCAUAAUCUCAUGAUUAGUGAACAAAUUUAGAAAUAUAUGCAUUUAUUUUUUUCCCCUAAAUUUAAUUAUUUUAUGGUAUAAAAAAUAAUAAAAGUAGAAUACUCCAAGUUUCCAACAAUAAAAAUGACACGUCAGCGGUUGAAAGGGCUCAUUGUUAUUAGUUUUUUGGGGUGAUCCAAAAACAUCAGUGAAGUGGCAAACCAUAAUUAGUGGCGGAGGAGACAUAAUAUAGAGAAACAUUUUGAGUCUUUGACUGCCAUUGCAAGAGCAGAUCGAAACGGACUUUUUUUGUGCCCUAGUUUAGGAUUUUAGGGAUUUCUAACUGCUCCUCAGUUCUUCGCCUCCCAUUUCAAAUUCCGCGCCAAUUAUGGAUUCUGAAGGUAUCCGUUAUAACUGAUUUUUGAAUCCUAUUUGAAUUUCAAUUUAUUUAUUAUUAUUACAACAAAAAAAUACAUUUUUUUUUUCUAGGACAACGACACUCUUGUAACCCCUCUGCAAUGCUCGCUUCUCUUAUCAGCAAGAGAGCCAAGCUUCACGAGGAGCUUCAGAACAUUGAGAAACAGGUCAUUUUCCAUUUGUUUUCGGGGUGUUUUUUGUUUUUUUUUUUGUUUUUUGGAUUUAUUGUUCUAUUUUUACGUGUCUGUGGUCGGGUUUUGGAUUUUGGGGCUUGGAUUUGAUUAGCCCUAGAGGAGAAAAAGGAAAAGAAAAGGAAAAUCCUAAAUUUUGGUUUCCAGAAACGAAUUCUUCAUGUGAUCCUGAUUGGUGUAGAUGAUUUAGAGCUUCCUCGUUGAUAAAGUGAGGAGAGGAGCUCCUUUUUUUAUGUAAUGUGUAGUGUUAGACAAGGCCAGAUGGGGCUGUGAGCAAUGUGGGAUGAACAUUGAGUUUAGGCCAUGGAUCCAAUGCAUCCUGUUCUUUCCAAGAGCCAAAUGCCCUGUAAUCUGUUCCAUUGUGUUUUCCUGAGGUUUGGUCAUGCAUGGUGUGUUAGAAAUCAAGUAAAUAAGAUCUCUCAAUUCUAGUUUAAUGAACCAAAAUAGAUCUAUAAAACUCACCUUGUGACAUUGUGAAAAAGAUACCUUAUGUAGAUUGUUUACAAUGUUGAGUCACUUUGGCAGCACCUUGUCACCUUGUAUCUUCCCUCUCCUUACUCUCUCACACUUGAUGUUUGUACAAAAAUGAUGGGAAACCUCACAAACUUAGGAUGAGUGGAGAGGGACCAAGAGUCUUUUUAUAUCAUGUCAAGUGACCUUCCAUCAAGAGUCACAAAUGAACACUUCCUUCUAGACACAUGAAUCCCCCUUUUCCAAUUCCAUGUAGUAUUCAUGAUAUAUGAAAACUUUAAUAUAGGUACAUGACUUUUGUCAUUGUACCUUGUACACAAUUUGGUAGGUUCAUGACUUUGGUUAUGAUACCUUGGUUUUUUCCAUACACCUUAUAUAUUUAAUCUGCCCACAUACAUUAGAUAUAUAGUAUGGGAAAUGUAAAUGCAUUAGGUUCAUGACUUUGGUCAUGAACCUUUAUAGUAACAGGGAUUAACUUCAUGUGGCCAUGAAGGCCACAAUAAUUCCAAAAUGGUGGAAUUGUUGGAGAUGCUGUUUCAAUAUGCGGGCAUUGUAGCGACACUUUUCAUAUGGCCUCAUUCCCCUUAGUGAUUCUUCCCAUCAUGGAUGACCAAACUGCAAACCUCUUGAAGCCCCCUAUGGAAUGAAAAUCGUGAUAUGAUCUUGAAAAUCAUGAUCCCCUUUAGGAGUUACUCAAAUGCAACUUUGUACAUCAAGCCUAGCACCAUGGAAGCAUUUUUGUUCAAAUACAUUGUAAGAAUCUUUUUUUUGCAAGUUUAAACUGGGUAAUCAAGCAUUAGGGUAUUACAUUAAGAUGCAAAUUGUUGUCUCCAUUUUUAAGAUAUUUUUAUUUCCUUGAAAAAAUUCGUGGGUAUUAUUGGAUUUUCUACCAAAAAUUGCCCAUCAAUGCAAUUGAUAACCAUUAAUAGUUGAGCUGUAUUCUCAAACCACAUAUAUCUACAGCUGUUGCAAUAGGGGCCUGAUUUGAUAAUAUGCCAAUUUGUCCACAAGAGUGCAGACCACUUUUAAAAGGAUUAGUGUAUUCAAAGGGAAUUGUUCAUUAGAGGGUGCUGAGCCCAAUGUUUGAAUAGGAUUAAGCAUUUUGGUUGGCAAGAUUCAACCACCAUAGACAAUUUGGUUCUCUAUGGGUGGUGAUAUCUAAAUGCAAUGGAUGAAUUAACUGCUGUUGGGUGGGAAGUCCUGAAUGAGUUUUCCAUAUCAAGGUGGCAAGCUAACGUGCAAGGUCUUGAUAGGAUGGUCCAUUUGUGUUGAGGCUGAAGGAGCCUGUAAGUAGGUGAAAAAACUGUGAAAAAACAAUCAAGGACAAACCAUGGAUGCUACCAGGAACAGUGUAAAAUAACUAGGCUUUCUAAAUCCUUGUUUUCCUUGUUUGACAUUUUCAUCCUUUUUUUUGUCCAAUUUCAUUUUCUGGAGCCUAAUGAUUUGCUUUAAUUCCAGCUUUAUACAAUGGAGACAGGUUAUUUACAGGAUCCAAGCCAAUGUGGCAACGUAUUGAAAGGUUUUGAAGGAUUCUUAUCUUCUUCAAAGAGCAGUACACUGUAUGGUCAUGAACAUUACCUUUUUGUAAUGCCAAUUAUAUUCUUUCCUUUUAUUUAUAUUUGUAUGUGAAGUUAUAUUUCUGGUGAAUUUUGAUUGCUUGGAAAAUAUUAUUUAUGGUUGAUUAGUUGAUUGAUCAAAUUUAUUAAUGACAAAUCACUUCAUUAGCAUGUUGCAGUCCAUGCUUGGUUUGUAGCCUAAGAUUUUCUUCAUGUUUCUGGUUAAGAUAAUGUCCGUAUGUCUCUGAUCCAUGGUUAAAUGUUUCUUUUCUGACAAACUUUGUUUAUUUUCUUGUACUAAUAUCUUAAUAUUUUUAUAUUUAUUCUCUUACCUGAAUUAUUUUUUCCCAUUGCAUUUCUUCCACUGGUCUGUUUGGCAUUUCUAAAUAUUGGACUAAAUUUUUUACAGUUAUCGUUAGUUAUAUGGAAAGGAUCAUUCUCUCUUACAAACAUAUCCCAUAUAGGGUACUUGGAACUCCUCUGAAGAUAAAAACAUCCCUUUGUCUUUUCAUAUGAUUUGAAUACACAAGUUGGUUGUGUAAUGAAGUAUUUUCAUAAUCACCAACUUGGUGAUUUAUCAAAAUCUUCAAAUAAUCUUAUUUUAGUGGAGGUAGCCCUUGGGGCCUGGCUCAAGUGGUAAAGGGAUGGGGAGGGUGGGUGUAAGGCAGGUUCUAGGUUCAAGUCCUACCAGGGACAAAUUUACCUAUCAAAAAAAAAAAAAAAAAACCUUAUUUUAGUGGAGCUCUAAGAGGAAACUGAUAGUCACUAAAUGCUUUGGGACAAAAAUGGAACCAUAUCAAAUGUAUUCAUGCAUAGUGGAUUCAUUAACUCCAUAUGGUAUCCACAUAUUCACUUAGGCAUUAAGCAAUUCUAAUUGAUUAAACUUAACUUCCAUUUUUUUGGUAAAAGUAAAUUCAGUUACUAGAUUUGAUCCUAGUUUUCAAUGAACAGAGAUGUUAUAUGGAUGCAUCGUUUUUUCUGCUUGGUUAAAUUGAUUGAUCUCUCUCUCAUUUAGUAGAGCCUAAAAAAUGUAAAAUUACCUCAAUGGACAAUAGUUACUCUUGUAUGGCUGUCGUUUGAGGGGAUGUGCACUCAGUUUGAUCUGAAAAGAUGAAUUAACAUUUCAAGAGGGAUGGCAAACAUUUGUCAUUUGAGAGGAAAUUUUUUUUUCAGAUUGAUUAAUUUAACUAUUCCUGAUGCAAGAAAAUUUGUAUGAUGUUAUGUAAAUAUAAACACAGACAUGCAUCACUGUCCAGGUUGACUUUUUAUGAGGAAUGAGGAUUACUGUUAGUACUAAAUAUCAGUGACCAAAUUUUCUGAUAUUUUGUUCACAGCUUAAAGCGGUCCAGGAAGUUUCAGCCAGAAGAUAGGCUCUUCUCAUUAUCUUCAAUCACCUCACCAGCAGUACGUAUUCUGAAUCUAUGUUGUUAAGUAAUGAUGCCACAUCCAGUUCUGUUCCUUGUUUACCUGUUUGAGUUUCACGUUUUAACCAAAGAAGAAGUACAAUUUUGUGCUUUCCCAUCAUCAACAGCACUUUUAUGUCUGAUGCUAGGAAUUGGCCAUGAUUUUGCUCAGUCAAGAGAAAGAACUUGGAGAUCUAAUUGCUUGAAAAUUUUUCGUUUUGUAUCUUUAGGUUUAGUGUUACUGCCAGAUAUGUCCAUCAUGUGAUUGGAAUUGGAUAUAAUCUUACAUAUGAUUUUUAAGCAAAUAAUUAAAAAGGGGGUCAGGAUAAUGAGAUUCAAAAUCUUGAUGAUGGGAUUUGUUGGAAAAAUGGGUGGGGGCGAUAGUUUGAGAGAAAGACAUGAAUACCCAUUAUCUUUUAAUAGGAAAGAGCACUAGAAAAAUGGAUGACUUGCUGCUAAUUAUGCUCUCUUAACACAUGCAUAAGAUGUUGCCCUCGAAAUAGCAUUUUUCUCUAAAUAUCAUCUAGCCCAUAUCAAGCAUUCAUAGAUAGUUGAUGACUUCUUUCUAAUCACAAUUGAUGACACACUCCAUGUGAUAUCCGACAUCGAAUAGAGGAAAAAGUUUUUAGCACUAUAUAUGUAUGAGUUUUUCUUAAUCAUGUAGACGUGUUUUAAAGCUGUGAGGGUCUUUUAGGCUUAGACAGACUAUAUCUACACGGUUGGGAGUAGGUUGUUAUAAAUGGUAUCAGACUUGAUCCUCAAUCCUAGUGUGAGUUUAUUUGACCUGCAAUCCCAUGUGAUACGACAAGGAUGUUGUGCUUGCACGGUGAGUGAUGAUUGUGAUAUCCCACAUCGGAUAGAGGAAAAAGUUCUUGGAAAUAUAUAUAUGAACUUCUCUUAACCUUGUAGAUGCGUUUUAAAGUCGUGAGGGCCCUUGAACCUAAAAAAGACAAUAGUACACGAUUGAGAGUAGAUUAUUACAAAUUGUAUUAGGGUCGAUCCUUGAUCCCAAUGUGGGAGUUUGUUUGAUUCCACAAUCCCAUGGGAUAAAUAAGGACAUUGUGUUUACAUUGGGGGAGUGAUUGUGAUAUACCAUAUUGGAUAGGAAAAAAAGUUUUUGGAGCUAUAUAUGUAUGAACUCUUCUUAAGCUUAUACAUACAAUUUAAAACCGUGAGGGUUCUUUGCAUGGUUCAAAGUCGCGGUAUCGAUCAUUGACUCGGAGGGUUCCAAGGCACAUUGGUCUUGGUGUCUGGGCUUGAUAUUGGACGAUAUGUAAAUAAGAUAGAUUAAGAAGUUAAAAAUAUUUUGAAAAUUAUUAAAAACUAAAUAUAAUUAAAUAAACUUUAGAAACUAAUAAACUUUAGAACAUAUUAACAUAAUAAUAAAUGUAAUGGUUUCAAUAUAUUAUUAAGAACAAAUUAGCAUAUAAAAUAAUACACUAUAUUAUGGUAUGAUUACCAUAAAAAAUAAUACAUUAACCAAAUUGAAUCAAUUUAUAUCAUAGCUUAGCAUAUAAAAAUAAUAAUCUUCAAAUUCCAAUUUAUAAGACACAUUAGCAUUUGAAGUAAUUAAUAAUUACCCCUUUUAAUAUAAAAUAAUAUAUUUACUCUUUUUAUCUUCAAAUUUCCAAUUUCACACAACAUAUAGAGAGUACCCUGUUUGGCAGAGAUAGAGAACCUCCACUGUAGCUGCAUGCCCACACUACGCCAGAACUGGAGCAAAGAGAAGCAAACACCUACACAUAGAGAUCAUUGUUGAUGGAGGAAUCUGAUGUUUCUCACCAAUAAACGACAUCACUGAUAGGAAGGAUGUCUUCUUUCUUCUUCUCCUUCAUCAUGGUUAAGGUCAUGGGUUUUAAAACUCUUCCUUUUGAAGAAAAUCUCUGAUUUUUCAGAGGUUUCUUGAUUUUGGUCGCUCCUUGUGAUUUGAAAGGGAAAAAAAGAUUUCUGGUUAAAAUUGGGGAAUAUUUGGAUCUUCAACCAAUUCAACUUGGAAUCUUGAUCGUGUUAAUUGGGUUUAACAAAUUCUUGGGCAAGUUUGUGAUUAAGAUGGUAUUGGGUAUCAGACUCAGCGCAGAAAGGCCCAAGGUGGAUACUACUUGGCCGAGUCGGGUACCCUGGUCUCUUGGGAUUAGAGCAAAUAACAUCUAUAUAGUUAAGACAGGGUCAUUACAAAAAAACAUGUUUUAAGGCGUGAGGGACCUUAGAGCCUAAAGUUGACAAUAUCUACACAUUUGGGAGCAGACUAUUACACUACAUAUCAGAUUAUUUGACAUCCUAUAAUUCUAUCUUGGAUGUAUUUUCACUAUCUCCUUUGUUUCAGCAAAAGCUUAUCAAUUAGGAUGAAUAUUGAGGGGUUGCAAUAUCCUGAACCCUCCUAUGUACAUCCAAAAUGGACCAUAAAGUCGUACUGAGCAA
rnacentral:lncRNA from 1 species